rnacentral:snoRNA from 1 species
CCAGCGCUUUUGCAAUCCUCCCUUUUUCUGUGGAGCCAGGAUUUGGUAGCUGGUGCUGACAGGAAACCCUCGAUUCCAUCCUUGCCCUGAUAUUGUACCAGCGGCAGCUGUCUCUCAGGGGAACAGAU